CGCUCACAUCCCCCCACCGGGACAGCAGUUACCUGUUGGUGGUGUGAGGGCGGCGUGCAGGCACAGUGAGGCGCAAAGGUCGGUGGGCAGCUGAUCAGAGAUGCCGGUGCAAAUCCCGGACGAUUCGGACUUCUGUUCGUUCAGAGAGCAGUGCCUGAGCACGGAGGGCUGGACCAGCCGCUACAGCAAGGGAGGGGUGACGGUGUGGGGGCGCGAGGAGGACAGCAGCACCGUGCAGAAGCUCAAGAUGAGGAUAGUCUGUAAGGACGUGACAGCAGAGACAUUGUACGACGUCCUCCAUGACACCAGCUACCGGAAGAAGUGGGACACCAACAUGAUCGAUACGUAUGACAUCGGCAGGCUGACGGUCAACGCAGACGUGGGAUAUUACUCCUCCUAUAAGAGCGAGAUCAUGAAGGUGGGUCUGCUGAGGUGUCGCGAGGAGCCUCCGAAGCUCCUUCAGGGGACCAGGUUCCAGGAGAGAACGUUCCAGAUUCGAGACCACAAACUGCUGCUGCUCAAAGACAAGAAGAGCAUCAAACCUGAGAAGGAGUGGGCUCUGAAAUCCUUAAAGAUCUACAUCGGCAUCCGCAAGAAGCUGAAGGCUCCAACCAGGUGGGGCUUCACAGUGAUGUCAGACAAACACCAGCUGUACCUGUGCUGCAGCAGCGAGGCCGAGCUGUGGGAUUGGAUCACGAGCCUUCUCAGAGCUCAGAACGAUGACCCAGGUCCUCCGGCGCUGCGCCGCCACUCCUCCUCUGACAUCUCCAAGCAGAAGUUCGGAACGAUGCCGCUCGUCUCCAUCAGAGGAGACGAGAGCAACAGCAGCAUGCUGUCAGCCAAUCAGACGCUGAGGAAACUACACGACCGGAGAACUCUCUCCAUGUACUUUCCCAUGAAGGUCCAGCAGGACUCGUUCGAGGAGCGCUCAGAGUCUCCUGACCUGCCUGAGCCGCUCUACGAGGAGGUCGGCGACUUCGGCCUGCAGGUCCUGAAGUCUCUGGAGACCAGCUUCCUGUCCAGCAGCAUUGCAGAGACCCAGGAAGUGCCAGACCACUUCAGGAGGCGAGAGCAGAGAACAAGAGUGCAGCAGUUUGGUGAAAGGAACAGGAAAGGUGAAGAAGAGGUGAGCAUCCAAAAGACGAGCAAGAGGACAGUUUCAAAGGAGACAUUAUGGCACAAUAAAAGCUGCCUCCUCCUGUUUCACUGCCAUAUAUCCAUCACCAGAGGGCUCCACUGACCUGCCUGCUGACAUCAGAGCACACCCCUGUGUCAUGUGACCUGGCAAAGCUGGACUCAGACCUGGCCCAGGAUGCCGGCAUGAUGUCUGGCUUCUGAGGAUCUUCUGGUCUGUGACACACCACAGUUAAUUUAUCUUAAUAAUAAACAUUUUCAUUUAGAAA